CGCGGGCAGCCGGGGCACAGAGGGCAGUCGCGGCAGGCAGCGGCGGGUGGCAGCGGCAGAAUGUUGGCUAUGAGAGUGUUUAGCCUAAUUGGCAAGCGAGCAGUUUCCACCUCAGUGUGUGUACGAGCACAUGGAAGCGUCGUGAAGAGUGAAGACUAUGCUCUUCCGAGUUACGUCGACCGGCGUGACUAUCCCCUGCCCGAUGUGGCCCACGUCAAGAACCUCUCUGCUAGCCAGAAGGCCUUGAAAGAGGAGAAGACUCCCUGGAGCAGUCUCUCCAUUGAUGAAAAAGUUGAGUUGUACCACAUGAAGUUCAACGAAAGCUUUGCUGAAAUGAACAGGAGCACGAAUGAAUGGAAGACGGUUGUGGGCACCGCCAUGUUCUUCCUCAGCUUCACUGCUCUCAUUCUGAUUUGGGAGAAGCACUAUGUGUACGGCCCCAUCCCGCACACCUUUGAAGAGGAUUGGGUGGCCAAGCAGACCAAGAGGAUGCUCGACAUGAAGGCCAGCCCGAUUCAGGGCUUCUCAGCCAAGUGGGACUACGACAAGAACGAGUGGAAGAAAUAGAGGAGCGCACCACUCACCCAUCUGAGCCUCACCUUGCUCUGCCAGAUCCACACAGCUCAGCAUCUUCACUGGAAACCGUUACGUUGCGUCACCAGUGCUAAUAAACGAGCAGCCUACGUGAAAAAAAAAAAAAAAAGUCCCCUCUGCUGCAU